GGCAAAUGGGCAUGUUUUUAACACGUAAAAAAGCUUGGUUUUAUCCCAAGAAUGAUGAGCAGUCUGUAAAGGGCUUAAUUACGGCAGGAAACACCAUAUUAUUAGUGUUUUAAGAAGGUGACACUGGCUAUUUGUUUAGGUGGCAUUUGUAUUGUAGUGGGUAACAGUGAAUGUGGAUUGCUUGGUUUACAGAACUGAAAGGCUUGGCCACUCAAAGGCCAUCUCAAAGACCCUAUCUAUGAGGAAGAAGAAAAGAAGUAGAAAGAGGAAGAGAAGAAGGAAAAAAAAUAAAGAAUAGGGAAGAGGAAGAAAAAGACAAAGAGACUCAAGCCCUAUCCUAAGUUUGUUUUGUUUUAUUUUCAAAGCAAUAUGUGAUAGCAGGUCUCAGAGUUAGGAGGAAGUGCCGUAUAAUGGAAAGAACACAGGCUAAGAAGCAAAGUUUAAUUUAUAUCUUAUUUGCUUUAUGACCUUCAGGAAGUAAUUUAACCUCUCUAAUUCUCAUUUUCCUCAUUUCCAAAAUGAAACAACUAAAAUUUACUUUUCAAAACUAUUGUAAAUAUUGAAGAUGAGGUCUAUAAAGAAGCUGGUGAUAAUUGUUUAAACAGGCUCUUAUAAUCAAAACAAGGUAAUUCCUUGGUACUUAUUAUAACAGAACCUGAUUCACAUAAUCUCUCUCUCUCUCUCUCUCUCACACACGCACACACACACACACACACUUUAACUUUUAGCAUGCAUAAAAAAUUAGAAGAUAUAGGUAAAUAAAAUUUGACUUCAGUAGGCUUUUGCUAUUUCAUGAUUUCUCUCCAAUCCAGUAUCACUUUAACUUGUGGAUAUAUAAAAAAACAAAAGAAAAAAAAAAUCAGUGGGACUCCUGUCUGCUCUUCCACUAAUUGAUUUAAAUGAAAACUGACUUUAUUGGUUGAUAAUCAAUAUGGAGUUGAGAAGGCAGUACCCCAGGGUUUAGGAUUUGAGCAAUAUCAUUUUUGUGAUUUGCCUUUGGCCUUCUUUUAUGUUAC
rnacentral:lncRNA from 10 species